UACGUAGGGGGCAAGCGUUGUCCGGAUUUAUUGGGCGUAAAGAGCGUGUAGGCGGCUGGGUAGGUCCGUUGUGAAAACUCGAGGCUCAACCUCGAGACGCCGAUGGAAACCCUCCAGCUAGAGUCCGGAAGAGGAGAGUGGAAUUCCUGGUGUAGCGGUGAAAUGCGCAGAUAUCAGGAAGAACACCCGUGGCGAAGGCGGCUCUCUGGGACGGUACUGACGCUGAGACGCGAAAGCGUGGGGAGCAAACAGG
rnacentral:rRNA from 1 species